rnacentral:rRNA from 1 species
UACAGAGGUCUCAAGCGUUGUUCGGAUUCAUUGGGCGUAAAGGGUGCGUAGGUGGCGAGGUAAGUCAGGUGUGAAAUCUCGGGGCUCAACCCCGAAACUGCACUUGAUACUGCCUUGCUCGAGUACUGGAGAGGAGAUUGGAAUUUACGGUGUAGCGGUGAAAUGCGUAGAUAUCUGGAGGAACACCGGUGGCGAAGGCGGCAUCCUGGACCGGUACUGACGCUGAGGCGCGAAAGCGUGGGUAGCAAACGGG